rnacentral:lncRNA from 1 species
GAUUUUUGAUCUAUAGUUUGAUUAUUGUUUGAAUUAUAGAAAGAAAGGAGUUUAGUAAUUGGUGUGAGGAGUAUACUAUAAUGAAGGAAAUAUAUGGGGUUAUAUAUAUAUAAACAUGUAUGAUCUCUGCCAAAAUAAAGAAUGCAUAUGUCAUGUUUGAUAAAAGUUUUCUUUAAAACUUUUGGAUGAAAUUAAGGAAUUUGGUUAGGUUUAUAGUUU